rnacentral:rRNA from 1 species
GAUGAACGCUGGCGGCGUGCCUAAUACAUGCAAGUCGAGCGAACAGACGAGGAGCUUGCUCCUCUGACGUUAGCGGCGGACGGGUGAGUAACACGUGGAUCACCUACCUAUAAGACUGGGAUAACUUCGGGAAACCGGCGCUAAUACCGGAUAAUCUAUUGAACCGCAUGGUUCAAUAGUGAAAGACGGUUUUGCUGUCUCUUAUAGAUGGAUCCGCGCCGCAUUAGCUAGUUGGUAAGGUAACGGCCUACCAAGGCGACGAUGCGUAGCCGAGCUGAGAGAGUGAUCGGCCACACUGGAACUGAGACACGGUCCAGACUCCUACGGGAGGCAGCAGUAGGGAAUCUUCCGCAAUGGGCGAAAGCCUGACGGAGCAACGCCGCGUGAGUGAUGAAGGUCUUCGGAUCGUAAAACUCUGUUAUUAGGGAAGAACAAAUGUGUAAGUAACUAUGCACGUCUUGACGGUACCUAAUCAGAAAGCCACGGCUAACUACGUG